rnacentral:rRNA from 1 species
ACCCAAUAGAUACCCGGGUAGUCCACGCUGUAAACGAUGGGUGCUAGAUGUCGGGGAGCUUGCUCUUCGGUGUCGUAGCUAAACGCGUUAAGCACCCCGCCUGGGGAGUACGGCCGCAAGGUUAAAACUCAAAGGAAUUGACGGGGGCCCGCACAAGCGGUGGAGCAUGUGGUUUAAUUCGAAAGCAACGCGCAGAACCUUACCAGCCCUUGACAUGGGCGUCGCGUCCCGGGGAGACCUGGGACUUCAGUUCGGCUGGACGCCACACAGGUGCUGCAUGGCUGUCGUCAGCUCGUGCCGUGAGAUGUUGGGUUAAGUCCCGCAACGAGCGCAACCCUCGUCUUCAGUUGCCAUCGGGUAGGGCCGGGCACUCUGAAGAAACUGCCGGUGACAAGCCGGAGGAAGGUGGGGAUGACGUCAAGUCCUCAUGGCCCUUACGGGCUGGGCUACACACGUGCUACAAUGGCGGUGACAGUGGGUUGCGAUCCCGCAAGGGGUAGCUAAUCCCCAAAAGCCGUCUCAGUUCGGAUUGCAGUCUGCAACUC